rnacentral:rRNA from 1 species
CUUGCACAAUGGAGGAACUCUGAUGCAGCGAUGCCGCGUGAGUGAAGAAGGCCCUUGGGUUGUAAAGCUCUUUCGUCGGGGAAGAAAAUGACUGUACCCGAAUAAGAAGGUCCGGCUAACUUCGUGCCAGCAGCCGCGGUAAUACGAAGGGACCUAGCGUAGUUCGGAAUUACUGGGCUUAAAGAGUUCGUAGGUGGUUGAAAAAGUUGGUGGUGAAAUCCCAGAGCUUAACUCUGGAACUGCCAUCAAAACUUUUCAGCUAGAGUUUGAUAGAGGAAAGCAGAAUUUCUAGUGUAGAGGUGAAAUUCGUAGAUAUUAGAAAGAAUACCAAUUGCGAAGGCAGCUUUCUGGAUCAUUACUGACACUGAGGAACGAAAGCAUGGGUAGCGAAGAGGAUUAGAUACCCUCGUAGUCCAUGCCGUAAACGAUGUGUGUUAGACGUUGGAAAUUUAUUUUCAGUGUCGCAGCGAAAGCGAUAAACACACCGCCUGGGGAGUACGACCGCAAGGUUAAAACUCAAAUGAAUUGACGGGGACCCGCACAAGUAGUGGAGCAUGUGGUUUAAUUCGAAGAUACGCGCAGAACCUUACCAACACUUGACAUGUUCGUCGCGACUCUAAGAGAUUAGAGUUUUCGGUUCGGCCGGACGAAACACAGGUGCUGCAUGGCUGUCGUCAGCUCGUGUCGUGAGAUGUUGGGUUAAGUCCCGCAACGAGCGCAACCCUCACUUUUAGUUGCCAUCAUUAGGUUGGGCACUCUGAAAGAACUGCCAGUGAUAAGCUGGAGGAAGGUGGGGAUGACGUCAAGUCCUCAUGGCCCUUACGUGUUGGGCUACACACGUGCUACAAUGGUAUCUACAACAGGAAGCAAGACUGCGAAGUUAAGCAAAUCCCUAAAAGAUACCUCAGUUCGGAUUGCACUCUGCAACUCGAGUGCAUGAAGCUGGAAUUACUAGUAAUCGUGGAUCAGCGUGCCACGGUGAAUGCGUUCCCGGGUCUUGUACACACCGCCCGUCACACCAUGGGAGUUGGUUCUACCUUAAGGCAAGGCUUUAAACCCUUGACCACGGUAUAGUCAGCGACUGGGGUGAAGUCGUAACAAGGUAGCCGUAGGGGAACCUGCGGCUG